UAAAAAUUUAAUUUAAGAUAUUAAAUUAGUAUUAGUUAAGUUCUUGAAAUUUAAAAAAUUUGGCGGUAUUUUAGUCUAUUCAGAGGAACCUGUUUAGUAAUUGAUAAUCCACGUUGUAUCUUACUUGAGUUUGUAUAGUAUAUAUAUCGUCGUUUAUUAAAUAUUUUUUAAAAAUAAUAAUUUUUUAAAUUUUUAAUUUAAAAGAAUAUCAGAUCAAGAUGUAGCUUAUAUUUAAGUUUACAAUGGGUUACAGUUAUUUUAUUAAUGGAAGUAAAUUUGUAAUUUAUUUAUUGAAAUUGGAUUUGAUAGUAAAUUUAUAUAGAUAAAUAGUUUGAUAAUAGCUCUAAAAUAUG
rnacentral:rRNA from 1 species